rnacentral:rRNA from 1 species
GAAUCCCGUUUGUGGCACGGACUCCCGUUGCUCUGUGAUACACUCUCAACGAGUCGAGUUGUUUGGGAAUGCAGCUCCAAAUGGGUGGUAAAUGCCAUCUAAAGCUAAAUAUUGGCGAGAGACCGAUAGCAAACAAGUACCGUGAGGGAAAGAUGAAAAGCACUUUGGAAAGAGAGUGAAACAGUACGUGAAAUUGUUGAAAGGGAAACGCUUGAAGUCAGUCAUGCCCUUUGGGAUUCAGCCUUGCUUCUGCUCGGUUUACUUCCCUUUGGGUGGGUCAACAUCAGUUUGGAUCGGAGGAGAAAGACUUGGGGAAGGUGGCAGCAUUCGUGCUGUGUUAUAGCCCCUUGUUGUAUACUUCGACUUGGACUGAGGACCGCAGCACGCCUUUGGCCGGGGUUCGCCCACGUACGUGCUUAGGAUGUUGGCAUAAUGGCUUUAAGCGACCCGUCUUGAAACACGGACCAAGGAGUCUAACAUGUGCGCGAGUGUUUGAGUGUUAAACUCAGGCGCGAAAUGAAAGUGAAAAGUUGGGAACACUUAUGUGUGCACCGACGCCCGGAGCUGACCUUCUGUGACGCAUCUGCGGUAGAGCGUAUAUGUUGGGACCCGAAAGAUGGUGAACUAUGCCUGAAUAGGGUGAAGCCAGAGGAAACUCUGGUGGAGGCUCGUAGCGAUUCUGACGUGCAAAUCGAUCGUCAAAUUUGGGUAUAGGGGCGAAAGACUAAUCGAACCAUCUAGUAGCUGGUUCCUGCC